AUUGAACGCUGGCGGCAGGCUUAACACAUGCAAGUCGAGCGCGCGCCGGACGGGUGAGUAAUGUCCGGGACACUCCCUGACGUUGGUGGAUAACUACUGUAAACGGUAGCUAAUACCGCAUACCAUCAGAUGUGCCCAGAUGGGUUUAGAUAGUGGGUGGGGUAAGGGAUCACCUAGGCAACGAUCCCUAGCUGGUCUGUGAGGAUGACCAGCCACACUGGAACUGAGCCACGAUCCAGACCCCUACGGGAGGCAGCAGUGGGGAGUAUUACACAGUGGGCGCAAGCCUAGUGCGACCAUGCCAAGUGUAUGAAAAAGUCCUUCGGGUUGUAAAGUACUUUCAGCGGGGAAGCGGUACCCGAUGAAGAAGGACCGGCUAACUCCGUGCCAGCAGCCGCGGUAAUUC
rnacentral:rRNA from 1 species